rnacentral:rRNA from 1 species
CCCUUAGAUGUCCGGGGCUGCACGCGCGCUACACUGAAGGAAUCAGCGUGCUAAAACCAUUGUCGAAAGGCAUUGGUAAACCCAUUAAAAUCCUACGUGAUUGGGAUCGGGAAUUGCAAUUAUUUCCCUUGAACGAGGAAUUCCCAGUAAGUGUGGGUCAUAAGCUCGCGUUGAUUACGUCCCUGCCCUUUGUACACACCGCCCGUCGCUGCCCGGGACUGAGCCGUUUCGAGAAAAGCGGGGACUGCUGCUGUCGGGUCUUUCGGGCCUUGGCUUCGGUGGAAACCGCUUUAAUCGCAGUGGCUUGAACCGGGCAAAAGUCGUAACA